UGACUGUGAGCACGGCUGAUAUAUCAGUUUUACACUCUGCAGAGGUGUGCACGUUCACUCCAAGUCGUGAUUCCCAUUUGCCCGGGGUCAUGACUCCCCAAAACACUGCCAAGGUGAGCAGGCAGGGUCACACUACGAGACCUUUUACAGGGUCCAACUAAUAGGAUGCCACUCGCAAGUUUUCGCCGGGGCGCUCGACAGUCGAUACCCAUAGCCAUGGCGUACCGAUCAACCGACAACUUAAUAUUCAUUACCCAAGUUAC
rnacentral:lncRNA from 1 species